CCUACGGGCGGCAGCAGUGGGGGAUAUUGCACAAUGGGGGGAACCCUGAUGCAGCGACGCCGCGUGGGUGAAGGAGCGUUUCGGCGCGUAAAGCCCUAUCGGCAGGGAAGAAGGAGGACGGUACCUGACUAAGAAGCCCCGGCUAACUACGUGCCAGCAGCGGCGGGAAUACGUAGGGAGCGAGCGUUGUCCGGAAUUACUGGGUGUAAAGGGAGCGUAGGCGGGGAUGCAAGUUGGGUGUCAAAACUACCGGCUCAACUGGUAGGCGCACUCAAAACUGCAGCGCUUGAGUGAAGUAGAGGCAGGCGGAAUUCCUAGUGUAGCGGUGAAAUGCGUAGAUAUUAGGAGGAACACCAGUGGCGAAGGCGGCCUGCUGGGCUUUUACUGACGCUGAGGCUCGAAAGUGUGGGGAGCAAACAGGAUUAGAUACCCUUGUAGUC
rnacentral:rRNA from 1 species